rnacentral:rRNA from 1 species
GAUGAACGCUAGCUACAGGCUUAACACAUGCAAGUCGAGGGGAAACGACAUCGAAAGCUUGCUUUUGAUGGGCGUCGACCGGCGCGCGGGUGAGUAACGCGUAUCCAACCUGCCCAUCACUUGGGAAUAACCUUGCGAAAGUAAGACUAAUGCCCAAUGAUAUCCCACGAAGACAUCUGAAUGGGAUUAAAGAUUUAUCGGUGAUGGAUGGGGAUGCGUCUGAUUAGCUUGUUGGCGGGGUAACGGCCCACCAAGGCGACGAUUAGUAGGGGUUCUGAGAGGAAGGUCCCCCACAUUGGAACUGAGACACGGUCCAAACUCCUACGGGAGGCAGCAGUGAGGAAUAUUGGUCAAUGGGCGAGAGCCUGAACCAGCCAAGUAGCGUGCAGGAUGACGGCCCUAUGGGUUGUAAACUGCUUUUAUAAGGGAAUAAAGUGAGUCUCGUGAGACUUUUUGCAUGUACCUUAUGAAUAAGGACCGGCUAAUUCCGUGCCAGCAGCCGCAGUAA